GGGCGGAGCGGGGCCGCCCGGCCGGCCCGGCGCUGUGACGUCUGCUCUCUGGCCCUAGGCGUGCGCAUGCUGGAUGGGGAGGUGACUGAUGCUGUGGAGGCCCAUUCCCUCGGCCUCAAUCCCAACCACAUCCACAUCUACAGUGCCAGCUGGGGCCCCGAGGACGACGGGAAGACGGUGGACGGCCCGGCCCGGCUGGCAGAGGGGGGCUUUUUUCGCGGGGGGAGGCGUGCUGCGGCAGGGCCGGGGCGGCUGCUGCUCUCCCUCAGGCCUGCCCUGGCGCUUCUGGGCAGCUGGGUUGUCCUGGCUCUCCCUGAUGAGUUAUCUCUCACCCCGUCUCUGCAAUCAGGCGCUGUUGGUUUUUCCGGUUCUUCCUGUGUGAUGGCUCUGAGUCAUGGCUCUUCCAGUGCUUAUCUCGCCUUUCUGAGCAGCCCCGAGUCCUCCCUGCUCAGAAAGCUCCCGCAAGCCCGGCGCUGGGCCUGUCUCUCCCCGCUCCGUGAAUCCCUGUGCUGGUUCCUGUCUCUCGAUUCACGCCAGCAGCUCACCCUCACUCCUGCUGCCCGUCCUCCCUCCCCGCUCUCCUUGCCCACUGUCAGUUCAGUUUGUGCCUUGGCUGAGCUGUGAUGCAGCCUGCGUGGUUCGUCUGCGCUGCCUGUCUCUGCCUGGGGUUCCCCGCACGGAAGUACGUGUGCGCUGUGCAAGGCGAGGCUGGCAGCCCACCCCGUUGGGCCACAGCACCCGCUCACGAGCCGCCGAUCCAGCACCGUUUUAUGGAGCUCUUGCAGGGCUGCCAGGCAGCUGCGAAUUCCACACAAAUACAAACCCCCCAAAGUCAGCCACUCCUACGGCUACGGCCUGCUGGAUGCUGGGGCCAUGGUGAGCUUGGCCAAGAACUGGACCACGGUGGGACCUCAGAGGAAAUGCGUCAUCGACAUCCUCGCAGAGCCGAAGUAAGGGCUGGUGAGCCCAGGUGGACAUUGCCCAGCGCCAGCUGCGUGCACAGCUCCACGCGGGAGCCAGGCUGCGGAAGCUCUUGGCCCCAGGGCAGGGAGCAGGGAGGAUCUUGUGGUCCUGAACUCGGCAUCCAGUGGGCCACCACGUCAGGAGGGCUUGGGAAGGGCUGGAAAAGCUGCCUUCAGCUUGGUUUCUGGGAGGCACCAGAGCUUCCCUGCUCCUGCUCCGGCUGGGCAGGGCGUAGCGGGGACACGUCCAGACUGCGACAGUGUGGUUUUGGGAGCAGCAAGUGUGAGUCCUCAGACAGAGGCACUUUUCAGGGGUCAGACAGAAGCUCCUUCUUCUCCUGCUUGGCCGCAGCCUCAGUGCAGCGUUUGUGCCGUGUCUCAUGUGGCUGUGACUGGGGCGCUCUCUGGGAGCUCCCGUCCCGCGCGGGGAAGGCGUCCCUGGGCACCGCGGGCGCCAGCUCUGCCUGGUGCCCUGCCCUGCUCCCCCGGGACCCCCGCCGCGGCAGCAGGACAGACAGACGAUCCUCGU
rnacentral:lncRNA from 1 species